GAAAGUAAGCAAGGGCAGACGGUGGAUGCCUUGGCUCUCGGAGGCGACGAAGGACGUGAUAAGCUGCGAAAAGCUCGGGGGAGGCGCAAAUAGCCCUUGAUCCCGGGAUAUCCGAAUGGGGCAACCCGGCAGGCUGAAGGCCUGUCAUCCCGUAAGGGAGGCGAACGUGGGGAACUGAAACAUCUAAGUACCCAUAGGAGGAGAAAAUAAACAAUGAUUCCGUAAGUAGUGGCGAGCGAACACGGAAGAGCCCAAACCCAUGUCGUCUAGGCGACACGGGGGUUGUAGGACCACGACGUGGCAAGAGGAUGGCAAGUGGAACGCCUUGGAAAGGGCGACCGUAGAGGGUGAUAGUCCCGUACACGACUGCCUGCCGAAGCCUAGUGGCAUCCUGAGUAGCGCGGGGCACGAGAAAUCUUGCGUGAAACAGCGGGGCCCAUCCCGUAAGGCUAAAUACUCCCGAGAGACCGAUAGCGAACCAGUACCGUGAGGGAAAGGUGAAAAGAACCCCGAGCAGGGGAGUGAAAUAGACCCUGAACCCGUCUGCCUACAAGCGGUCGGAGCAUAGCAAUAUGUGACGGCGUGCCUUUUGCAUAAUGAACCUACGAGUUACCUUCCCCGGCAAGGUUAAGUACCUAAGGUACGGAGCCGAAGCGAAAGCGAGUCUGAAGAGGGCGGCCAGUCGGGGGGGGUAGACGCGAAACCGAGUGAUCUACCCUUGGCCAGGUUGAAGGUUGGGUAACACCAACUGGAGGACCGGAUGGGUAAGCGUUGAAAAGCUUUCCAAUGAGCUGAGGGUAGGGGUGAAAGGCUAAUCAAACUCGGAGAUAGCUCGUACUCCCCGAAAUGCAUUUAGGUGCAGCCUCUUUAUAGUAUAUCGUGAGGUAGAGCGACUGAUUGGAUGCGAGGGCUUCACCGCCUAUCAAGUCCAGAUAAACUCCGAAUGCGCGAUAUAUAUUUACAGGGAGUGAGGGCGCGGGUGCUAAGGUCCGUGUCCGAGAGGAGAAGAAUCCAGACCACCGGCUAAGGCCCCCAAAUGAUCGUUGAGUUGAACUAACGAGGUCGGAUCGCAGAGACAGCUAGGAUGUUGGCUUGGAAGCAGCCAUUCAUUUAAAGAGUGCGUAACAGCUCACUAGUCGAGCGAUCUGGCGUGGAUAAUAAUCGGGCAUAAACGAUCUGCCGAAGCCGUGGAUGUCGUAAGACAUGGUAGGGGAGCAUUCCAUGCGGCGUCGAAGAUGAGGGAUGACCCUUGUUGGAGCGCAUGGAAAAGCAAAUGUAGGUAUGAGUAACGAUAAGGGGGGCGAGAAACCCCCCCGCCGAAAGACCAAGGUUUCCUGAUCAACGCUAAUCGGAUCAGGGUGAGUCGGGACCUAAGGCAAAGCCGAACGGCGCCGCCGAUGGAAGAAUGGGUUAAUAUUCCCAUACUGCCUCAUGGAGUGACGUGGAGACGGAGAAGUGACAGUCCUGCCGGCUGACGGAAUAGCCGGUUGAAGGGUGUAGAUAUUGAUUCCCGUAGGCAAAUCCGCGGGGAGAGUCGAACCUGACAGUAUACCGAGUACUUGUACGAGGUAAUAUGGACGUAACCAUGCUCCCAAGAAAAUCCGCUAAACUUAUCCAUGCGGCACCCGUACCGUAAACGGACACACGUGGUCGGGUUGAGAAUACUGAGGCGCUCGAGUGACUCACGGUUAAGGAACUAGGCAAAUUGACCCUGUAACUUCGGGAUAAAGGGUCCUCGUCGUAAGGCGAGGCGCAGAGAAUAGGUCCAGGCAACUGUUUAACAAAAACACAUGGCUAUGCUAAAUGGAAACAUGACGUAUAUAGCCUGACACCUGCCCGGUGCUGGAAGGUUAAGAGGAGAUGUCAUCGCAAGAGAAGCGUUGAAUUGAAGCCCCAGUAAACGGCGGCCGUAACUAUAACGGUCCUAAGGUAGCGAAAUUCCUUGUC
rnacentral:rRNA from 1 species